rnacentral:misc_RNA from 1 species
GUUUCGCCACUUUCCACAUCGUUCUCUCCACUCGUUCGUGUUCGGUCGCACCCCGCUGUCUCUCUCACGCCCUCUCCCCGUCGCUCUCGUCUCCACACACGCGCACAUCGCAGCACAUUUUCUCGCUAACGCGUUGCCUACUCACCUUCGCCUCUCUUGUCGCGGUCAUGAGCGCCAUUGUCCCCCCUCCGCCGUCGGGCUCCAUUCUGCAGAAGCAGAGCAGCUUUUCGCGGCCGAAGGCGAACAAUGCCGCCGCCACCACACCCGGAGCUGAGACUUACGGUGCCGGCGGUGCGCCUGCUGCCAACGGCCAAUCAACCGCACCGAGUGCUGCCGCCCAGAAGCCCGCCAUGACCCUGCAGCGCCACGACCCCACUGGCGCCCCUCCGGCUGUCGCCCCACUCACCGGCGGCCCCCCCACUGUAUCCCCGGCGCCUCCGGCUGGCGCACCCAAAAAGCAGCUUGGCGUUGCGUCGGGCCCUGCGCCGGACGGGCACCCUAAUCAGCCCGCGGCGCCGCCGGGCAUGUGGGGGCCCAAAGGUCAGAUUGCCCCCGGUGCGCCGGGCAUGUCUCCUGCUCCGGGACUGAGGCGCGUUGCACCCCCUCCGGCUGUUCCGCCGGCGACUUCUCCGGCCGCUACUGCGCCGACAACCCAGCUGCCCAGCAUGGUUCGGCAGAACAGCGUGAACGGCCUUCCCUACGGUUCCAUGGGUGGCGGUUUUGGCUCCAUGCGUGGCGGCUUCGGCUCUCUGGGGGCGGGCCAGAUGGCUGGCUCUGCCUACGGCACCAUGGGUGCUCCAUACGGCUCCAUGGGUGCCGGCUACGGUAGCAUGAACGGGAACAUGAACUGCGGCAGCGCGUACGGCUCCAUGGGCGAUCAGGGGGCCAACCUUUACGGAUCCAUGGGCGGCGAGAACUGCAUGGGCUCGAUGGUGGGGGGCCAAAUGGGCUCGAUGUACGGCAUGGACGGCCCUGGCUCCAUGAUGGGCGGCACCAUGAUGAUGCCGAUGAGCUCCAUGUACGGCAUGGGAGGCCCGAUGGACUCCAUGUACGGCAUGGGCGGUAUGAGCACGAUGGGCAUCGCGGCGCAGUGGGGCAGCCUCGCCAACAUGAGCAUGGGCGGCCACGGCAGCCAGGUGAAGCGCAGCGGCAUCUCGAGCGGCUAUGGUGGCUUCGUGUCCGAGGCAACUCGCGUGGACACUGACGAGCUGUGCCCGCAAAUCGGCACCUUCGAGAAUGCCAAGGACCUGCCGCGCAGCGGAAAGCGCGGCGGCAACCACCUAUACAGCCGUGGCAAGCACGAAAAGCCGGUGGCGACGGGCAACUCUACCGUGACAGCCUUGACGAUCCGUCGCAAGUCAGACGUCAAGCUGGGCAGCAGCGCAGCCGGUGCCAGCAACGGUACGACUACUCACUCGGAGACCAAGGUGAGCCGCGGAGCGUCGCGUGCGUUGCCGUCUACGGCGGCUGGUCGCAACGGGGCCGCCGGCAAGCUGCGCGCAAAGUUGCCAUCGAACUACAACGUGCACUCGCUCAUCCUGGUAGAGAAGGCCACCGGCGCCGAUGUGAUCACUGUCAAGGACCCCAGCACCGUCGUCUUCGAGAAGGGCGGCAAGAAGGAGACGUUCGAGGUGGACGAGGCUCUGUCGCUAUCCUCGGCGAAGGACGACGUUGACUCGGUGCUUCUUUCGGAGCUGCGCGGCAACUGGUUCAACGGUCACAACUCGGCACUUAUGCUGUGCGCUGGUAAGGGCAGGGCCGAGGCGACGCAGGACGUGGCGCGCCAGUUUCUGCGCAAGUGCGUGGAACGCCUGGAGAAGAACGAGAAGGACAUGGCUGUCAAGUUCGACAUCACGAUGACGAUGGUGUCGCUCCGCUGUGCCGACCAGUGCUGCGACCUCCUCAAACCUGGCGCCUCUUACGAGAAGAUGGUGAUGGGGUCAUCGCCCGUGUACGGCCCGUGCCUGCUGGGGCUGGAGACAAAGGUACACAAGACAGCGAGCGAGUGCGUCAGCUCCUUCGACGGCGGGCUGAAGAAUGCAAAGGAGGAUAAAGAGAUCGUUGUCGCUUUCUUCGUUCUCAAGACGAUCAAGAAGACGGGUGCGGAGGAAGAGGUUCACUUGUCCUCCCUCUGCAUCGCACUCUGUGGCGAGACGGUGGCGCACAAGACAGAUAUUCGCGACAAGUCUGCGUCGUCGCCGCACCGCCUUUUCCGCUACGCCGUCGACGGCGCCUGCGUCACCGUGAGCGGGCUGUGGAUUGCGUCGAAGGAUGUGGACGCCCGCGAAGGUCUCGAGGUGGAGCGCAAGAUGCGCGAGGUGAAGAACCAGCCGCCGCGCAGUGGUAACGUGAAACGCUUUGUGGACUACACGUACAAGGAGAUCAUGCGCCAAAAGGAGAAGCUGGAGUCCGCGACCGGGUCGGAAAAGAAGACGCGUGAGGCGCAGAUCGAACGGAUGGAAGAGAUGGUCAAGGACGCGAAGGAGCUCCUCACGUCGCCCGAGAACACGCGGCCGAAGGGCUACUCCAUGGGCCGCUAAAGCGCUCCCACGCAGCGAGAAGCUGGCGCGGCUACGUCGUGAAUACAGCACCCCGUCCCUUCCCGGCCGCCCCCUCGCCCUUUUUGCUGUUCUUCCCAUUCCGUCCUCCCGGCGCGUGCGUGCUUGUGCGCACUGAUGCAGAGGGGUGGUGGGGAGCACCCCGGCUUGAGACCGACCAGCGCAUACGCACAUCCGCGGCAAAUGAGGCAUUGCCUCCUCUUGCUGUUGCUCCAUUUGUUCCCCCCUUCUCCCUGCGCUUUCUGGUGCAACAAAGCAUCGCCCAUGUCAUGUGUCCCUCUCUCUGUUUCUCGCUUCAUUGUCAUUGUCGGCAUCAUGAUGGUGGACAAGAGCCUCAGAUGUAGGUGUGCCUGUCUUCGUUGUGGUUGUGUGUGUAUGCUGUUCUUUCGUGACCGGCGCACCCACACUUGUAUGGGCAGCCGUUUUUCCCGUGGUUGCCCUUCUUUGUUCAAUUCGUUUGGCCCUAUGUGUACAGUCCUCUCCAUGGGCCCCUCCUUCUUGCCCGCCACUUUCCUCAUUUUCACCUCCACCGUGUCUCUCACGUCUGCUGUGCGUUGGCUUGUUGUAGUCGUGUAUCUCGUUGAGCUCUCCCUCUCCUCUGAUGAACGCCCGCCACCCUCCUCCCCUCUCACUACUCCCCAGCGUUCCCUAGCUUCCACCCCCCGCACCUUCGUUUCAUGCUUUGCAUCGCAAAGCAUGAGAUCUUGUUUCGUGUUCUCCUCUCUCAUCAUCCAGCCCUGCACUCCGAAAAACAAGACGCAGUGCUCAAGAGGCGUGCAUGCGGAAGGACAGGGACAACCGAAAAAAAGGGGGGAGGGUUGGAAAAUGAGAGGAGAAAGAGUGCUGAUGUGUUUGCACACGUGGUGGCGAACCGUGUAUUCGUGGAGCCUACAUUCAUCUUCCUCUCCCCCACCCCUCCCUACGCUCACAGACAGACACCUUUUUUUUGUUUGGUUUCCUCCACGUCAAGGUAUUCACUCUGCUCACAGUGUGUGUUAGGUCAUGUGCUACUGUGCUGAUGUGUGAGGGCUCUCUUGCGCGUUCUCUCUUUUUCGUUGUUCUUAAACAUCAUUAUGCCUUUUUUCUUGCAUUUCUUAUUUUUUUUUCCGCACCUAUUGCACCUCCACCUUGCAUGCGCGUGAGCCCGCACCUGUGCGCGUGUGUAAAGGUAUAUGUGUUUAUGCCCCGCACGCUCUUGAAGGCAAGCGGUGCAUCAGCUGUGAUGAACUCUACCUGCUUCACUUCCGCCUCUAAACCAGAAUGUCUCUCUCAUUUUGCCAGCCGUCUUUCUCUGUUUCUGGUACAUGUGUGCGAGGACUUUCAGGGUCAGGUGUCCGCGGAGAGAGGUGAAGCAGGAAGGAUGGCGCCCUUUGGCGUCAAGCGCACAUGUAUUUACCUACGUGCUCACCAAUCAAAAAAGGAGGACUGCAGGGAGUGUCAUCGUUUUAUUUUUUAUUGAUAUUUCGCGUGUCUGUGUUUGCGUGUCCUGCAUCUCACACCUCGAUGGGCUUGUCUUCGCCUUUUCUUUUUUUUUUCGGUGACGUUUUUUUUUUCUCUCUCCGACUCACAUCCUCUCUCGGUUCUCGCAGGCGUGAGCGCGUGUGUGUGUGUGUUGAAGAGAGGCAUGCGCGGUACAGCCUACUCAUCUCUAAGAUCCUUUUCAUCCUUCUUUCCCCUCCCACCACUCCAGAUACUUAGCUGCCCAUGCACAUGAGAUG